AGAAUUCUCUCUCCACUUGAGCACUGGGGAAAAGGUCAUGUGAAGACAUAGUGAGAAGGUGGCUGUCUGCAGGCCAGGAAGAAAGACCAUCAGAAACCAACACAGCUGGCGUCUUGAGCUUGGACUUCCAGCCUUCCAAACUAAAUUGAGGCAAUUUACAUCAAGUACAAUGCUCAAAUCUCAAGUAUAACCACCAACCAGAUCAAGCUGCCCUCCCCAUACGGAUGCCCUGCAACUAGUCAAGAAAUAGAAAUGGAACAGCGAUAGACAGACUUACAGACCUCCUAUCCAUUUCUACCUAACAGGCAUGU